GACGAACGCUGGCGGCGUGCUUAACACAUGCAAGUCGAACGGAAAGGCCCUGCUUUUGUGGGGUGCUCGAGUGGCGAACGGGUGAGUAACACGUGAGUAACCUGCCCUUGACUUUGGGAUAACUUCAGGAAACUGGGGCUAAUACCGGAUAGGAGCUCCUGCUGCAUGGUGGGGGUUGGAAAGUUUCGGCGGUUGGGGAUGGACUCGCGGCUUAUCAGCUUGUUGGUGGGGUAGUGGCUUACCAAGGCUUUGACGGGUAGCCGGCCUGAGAGGGUGACCGGCCACAAUGGGACUGAGAUACGGCCCCGGAUCCUUCGGGAGGCAGCAGUGGGGAAUAUUGCAACAUGGGCGGAAGGCUUAUGGCGCAACGCCGGCUGGCGGAUGACGGCCUUCGGGGUGGAAACCGCUUUCGCCUGGGAAGAAGCGUUAGUGACGGUAAUGGGUAAAGAAGCCCCGGCUAACUACGUG
rnacentral:rRNA from 1 species